rnacentral:rRNA from 1 species
AGUAAUGCCUAGGAAUCUGCCUGGUAGUGGGGGACGAACGUUUCGAAAGGAACGCUAAUACCGCAUACGUCCUACGGGAGAAAGCAGGGACCUUCGGGCCUUGCGCUAUCAGAUGAGCCUAGGUCGGAUUAGCUAGUUGGUGAGGUAAUGGCUCACCAAGGCGACGAUCCGUAACUGGUCUGGGAGGAUGAUCAGUCACACUGGAACUGAGACACGGUCCAGACUCCUACGGGAGGCAGCAGGG